rnacentral:rRNA from 1 species
UCGAGAAUUUUUCUCAAUGGGGGCAACCCUGAAGGAGCGACGCCGCGUGGGGGAUGAAGGGUUUCGAUCCGUAAACCCCUGUCAUUCGCGAACAAUGGUUGCUGUUUAAGAGAUGGCAAUUUGAUAGUAGCGGAAGAGGAAGGGACGGCUAACUCUGUGCCAGCAGCCGCGGUAAUACAGAGGUCCCGAGCGUUGUUCGGAUUCACUGGGCGUAAAGGGUGCGCAGGUGGCAAGGCAAGUCGGAUGUGAAAGCUCCGGGCUCAACCCGGAAAUGGCAUUGGAAACUGCUUUGCUUGAGGUUUGGAGGGGGGACUGGAAUUCUCGGUGUAGCAGUGAAAUGCGUAGAUAUCGAGAGGAACACCAGUGGCGAAGGCGAGUCCCUGGACAACACCUGACACUGAGGCACGAAAGCCGGGGGAGCAAACAGG